rnacentral:rRNA from 1 species
AUGCAGCAGCAGGAGAUCCAUCUUCGUCGAUUCAUGGAGCAUCAGCCAGACGAGUGCGCGCUGGAGGAGCUGGAGCUGCCCACUGUAGACCUCGAGGCGGAGGAGCCGAGCCUGACGGAGCAGCUGGCGGCGGCGUGCCGGGACCCGGGCGUGUUCCGGCUGGUCAACCACGGCGUCCCCUGCGACCUCACCGCCCGCCUGUUCGGGCUGGCGCGCGGGCUCCUUGAGCUGGACGCGGCCAACAAGUCCCGGCUGCCCGGCUACUUCUGUGGCACGCCGGCGCUGGCGGCGCUCCCUGUCAAACAGCUCAAUUGGCUCGAGGGGCUGCACGUCGAGGCCGACGACACCGGCGACCGUUCUCAUUCUUCUGCUGACGCUGCUGACGGUGAAGCAGGCGGCAGUGCCUUGGCGGAGUUCAUGGAGGCGGUGAGCGGGGAGUACGUGGCGCACAUGGCGCGCAUCGCUCGCAAGCUGUUCGACACCCUGGCCUGCGGCGAGCUGGGCCUGGACGAGGAGCAGCGGGCGUCGUACCUGACGGAGCGCGGCUGCAUCUUCCGCGCGUACCGGUACCCGGCUACUGCGUCGGGCGCGGGGCGGCGGCAGCUGGGGAUGGAGGCGCACACGGACAGCUCGGUGCUGUCGAUCCUGAACCAGGACAGGGUGGGCGGCCUGCAGGUGCUCUAUGGUGGUAGGUGGCUUGCGAUGCGGCCUAUGGAGGGCGCGCUGGUGGUGAACGUGGGCGACAUGCUGCAGGCGAUGAGCGGGGGCGCGUACCGGAGCCCGGAGCACCGGGUGGUGGCGCCGGGCUGGACGGAGGUGGGCAGGAUGUCGCUCUGCUACUUCGCGUUCCCGCAGGAGGACGCCGUCAUCGUCGGCCCGCCGUCAGCUUGUCGUCAGGAGGAGUUGUACAGGGCGUUCAGCUACCGUGAGUUCCGGGAGCAGGUGCAGGCGGACGUGAAGGCCAGCGGCUCCAAGGUCGGCCUCGCCCGAUUCCGCGUCCCCGUGAGUCAAUCAUAG